CAGAGCAGCUGGGGAACACACUCGCACACUCGGCGGGGGUCCCCAGGGCAGAGUUGGGGCUUUUCGGGGCUGGAAACGGGGCUCGCGGGGUUGUGCGGAGAAAGUGCGGAGACCCGGUGCGCUGGAGAGGGCCCAGUGAGUCCCUAGGUCUGUAUGCGGUUGGUUAAAACAGGUCGCACUGUCCUGGGUCAGGAGCUGUCUUCACCAGGUCCAGCAAGAGCCCAGCCCUGGCCACUGCCAGUUCCCCAUCUUCCAUCAGCUUCGGCUGGCUAGCGCCCCUCGCAGUGAAACGCAAUGGAUCCCGGAAAGAGCAGCUGUCCACGGAAACCAUCUUUUACACAGUGCUUCAGAACCCAACUGAGACUCCUGCAGAGACAGCAAGACAAGGAACAGGACGCAGAGGUCUCAGGAAGAGCGAGAGGCUGUUUAAGAAAACAAAGGAGGACACAGCAGAGAGGAGCAAGGAGACGGCCAGCGGGGGACAGUGGGGUAAGUGCAGGAAUGGCUCGGGUGGAGCCCCUGAAGUCAGCAGCAAAGAUUAUUACACUCAUUGUUAUAGCUCAUAACGAAUCCUAGUGAACAGUAAAACAGGUACUCAGUUAAGGUGUUCUGAUGACGGCAUGACAGGGAAACUGAGGCACAAAGAGGUAGGCUCUGCCGGGCUCAGUGGACGCUGGAGUGGAUGACCUCCUUGCUGAGUGUCACCAGAGAGGGCUAAAGAGGAGAUGUAGGUGGGUGCUGUGUUCACUUAAAGCCACGCUGUCCCCUGGUGCCGAGCUUCUCUUACGUGGGAGCAGAACUUUACAGUUUAGGAAGCCCUUUCACAGCCCCUUUAAAGUGCCGCCCUGGGGCAGGCAGGGCAGGGACUGCUGGCCCCACCUGAGAGCUGAGGACCCCAGGGAGGGAGGGGGAUGGGGCGAGCUCCAGCGCACCCGUUCUGUGUGCCAGGGAGCCUGCUGCCUGCUGGACCGACGACCUUGACGCCUUUCCCUGUCCCAGGUGGCCGCUCCCAUCUCCAUGUCCCAUCCUGGGGGCCUGGGGUUCACGGAGGUUGCCCGCCGGAGGUCCCAUGGCUGAGUCUGCCUGACAAACAAGAAUGAGAGGGGUGGGGGUCUGCGUUUCCAUUGACGUCUCGGCUUCACCACCUCCGCCUGCAAGACCUUGACCACGUUACUUAACCUCUUUGACUCUUGGGUUUCCAAUCUGUAAAAUGGGACUAUUAUGCGAUGACUUGGGUCCUCCCUGCCCCCCAAAUUCAACCAUUGAAGUUGAAUUCCCCCAGGACCUCCGAAUGUGACUGUGUUUGGCGAUAGGGUCUUUAAGGAGGUAAUUAGUUAAAAUGAUGUCAUUAGGGUGGGCCGUAAUUAAUCCAAGGUGGCUGGUAGUCCUUAUAAGGAAAGGAAAUUAGGACAUAGACAGGAACAGAGGGAGGACCGCAUGAAGACAGAGAGACAAUGAGCAACUACAAGUCAAGGAGCGAGGCCUCAGAAGAAACCAACCCUACCGACGCCUCGGUCUCAGACUUCAAGGCUCCAGAAUUGUAAGAUAAUAAGUUUCUGUUGUCUGAGCGCCCCAG
rnacentral:lncRNA from 1 species